AUGUGCAAACUUCAACAGGUACAGGAGGAAUGGCUGCAAUUGAUUUUCCAAAGAAUUCUUCAUAAAGAGAUAUUUGGAGCUUGUUCAGUUCGAAAGCCUUGUCAUCCGAUUGCAAGAGUCUCUGACUGAACUGCGUGAGAUGAAUGGAUGCAGUAACAAGUCUGAUGCAGAAGGUGUUAAAUCCGGUUCCUUGUGAAGGUAUUUCAGGUUUUUUUGCACUAAAGCUUUUGACCGAAUUCGACACGGUAUUGACCUCAAUUUUUUUGAUUAUUUUACAACCCUUCUUGUCCCAUUGUUCGUCUUCAUGUACUUAUCUCCUGUUGUAACCAUAACUUGGACUUUCAAAUGCUUUCCAAACUCUUUACACACUUGAGAUGUUUGACAAGCCAACUCACGGGAACAAGAUAACAAUUUGAAUAAUAUUAUCAUCCUGAUUAAUUUUUCAAUAUAGGAAUGCAAAAUGCAGCUGUUAUUUAUGCAGGAUUAUGGAUGAUGGAACUGCAAAAAAGGGAUUGCAUCUGUUGCCUCUUCAAGUGUCAGGCUUUUAGUGUUUCCUGCACCUAGAUAUUCCACUGUAACCGUUGAUUCUUCAGAUCAAUGGGACUCGGGUGUAUUGAGCUCUGAAACAGAAGCAGCGUGACAAUCAUUGGAAAGAUUUCGAGCAGAAGGGUAUGCUAGAAGUUUCAAGCUGUUGCAUGCAGCAAGUGCGGCGUUGACUUGUUCAGUCGUCUUAAUAUCUUUUGUAUGCCUUCUUCUGCACGACACCAACAUCCUGCAAUGCCGGCUCUAAUACUUCAAAUAGUAAAUCAAAAUCCUUCACAUCUAAUCCAGGCAACAACGAAAUUGCGAAAUCAUGAAGCCGAGCCUUGAGAACUGGUUGAGGCACGUCAUUUGAUGCACUGUCAAUCUGCAUAGAUCUUUCUGAACCGUCUACCUUUGAGGAUAUCUCUCGUGCCUUCAAAUUUCUGUUGCAACCUUGCUUUGUGUAAUUAGAAACUAUAAACUAGUUCAUGUUAUUUUAUGAAUAUCAACUUCUUCUUUUACUUUAAUACGUAAAUGUUUCUCUAAAACUUUGAAACUCUCAGCUGUGUCCGAAGGAUAGUUGCGAAACGAAGGGUAGAUAGAAAAGAACUCCUUUGUAAAAUGUUUUAUACUUGUACCAACAAAAUUCUGUUUUAGAAUUGAGAAAAAGCCAUAUGUUUGCAA